rnacentral:rRNA from 1 species
UACAGAGGGUGCUAGCGUUGUUCGGAAUUACUGGGCGUAAAGGGCGCGUAGGCGGUUUGUUAAGUCAAACGUGAAAGCCCCGGGCUUAACCUGGGAUGUGCGUUUGAUACUGGCAAGCUAGAGAACGGUAGAGGAAAGUGGAAUUCCUAGUGUAGAGGUGAAAUUCGUAGAUAUUAGGAGGAACACCAGAGGCGAAGGCGGCUUUCUGGACCGAUUCUGACGCUGAGGCGCGAAAGCGUGGGGAGCAAAUGGG